ACUACCCAGAGCUCAGCACAGAUAGAACAGCCCCUUGGAUCCAUUUUUCUAAGCUUCAUUGGAAUUUUUCUAAGUGGGAUCGCAGAACAACUGCUCAUACACGCAACGAAUCAGCUGUUCAGGAUGUGCCUAUGAUGUACUGUGGGAAGCAUGCCUGCACAUGGAAGAUAUUGGCCUGAUUCCAUAUGGAAGAGUAGCUCCCAAGACACUGAUCUCCUCAGGAUACUGGUUCUCUGGUGAAAUAGUUGGUCUUCAGUUGCAGAGGACUAAAUUUCAGGGUUGUUAUAAAUUUCUGAAAUGA
rnacentral:lncRNA from 1 species